AUUGAACGCUGGCGGCAUGCCUUACACAUGCAAGUCGAACGGUAACAGGUCUUCGGAUGCUGACGAGUGGCGAACGGGUGAGUAAUACAUCGGAACGUGCCUAGUAGUGGGGGAUAACUACUCGAAAGAGUGGCUAAUACCGCAUGAGAUCUACGGAUGAAAGCAGGGGAUCGCAAGACCUUGUGCUACUAGAGCGGCCGAUGGCAGAUUAGGUAGUUGGUGGGAUAAAAGCUUACCAAGCCGACGAUCUGUAGCUGGUCUGAGAGGACGAUCAGCCACACUGGGACUGAGACACGGCCCAGACUCCUACGGGAGGCAGCAGUGGGGAAUUUUGGACAAUGGGCGAAAGCCUGAUCCAGCAAUGCCGCGUGCAGGAUGAAGGCCUUCGGGUUGUAAACUGCUUUUGUACGGAACGAAAAGCCCCGGGUUAAUACCCUGGGGUCAUGACGGUACCGUAAGAAUAAGCACCGGCUAACUACGUGCCAGCCGCCGCAGUAA
rnacentral:rRNA from 1 species